CUGGCUGGUUCUGAGAGCCACACUGAAGUCCUCUGUGUUUAGGCUCUGAGUCCCAGUUCCUGGAGUGGAUUCCUUUCUACUAUCUCUCAAGCUAGAGGAGAAGGCAUUUUAAGUCAAGAGAGAAUCCUGCUUGCCUCAGGAGAAGGGGAGAUCAGCAAUAUGCAGUGUGAGUCCAGUUCUGUCAUGGGUCAGCCCCUGCAUUUCUAGAGAAAUGAAUCACUUCCCAACAAGAUGCGAAGAUCAAGAGAAUGAGAUAGAGACACCAUAUAUCAAGGGAAAACCAGAAGACACUGUGUGUGUGACACCGGCCAGACGUCUCUACUGGGGACCGCUGGCCAGCUGGCUCUCAGCCAGCACUCAGGAAGAACUCCCAGCCAGAGAUGAUCUUCAUGGGGCCAAAGGAGAGCCUCCAGGCAACGAAGACAUGACCUGUCCAUCUCCACUAUUCCUGGACUAAAGAGGGUGAUAAUGAAGAUUUUGACAGUCACACAGAUUAUCUCCACCAGGAAUUACCAGCUGCAUCAAGCUGAGGC